GUCUACGACCAUAGCGCCCCGUACUCACCCAGUCUUGUCCGAGCUUGGCCACUCAGCGGGGUCGGGCCUGAUGGGCACUUGGAUGGGAAACUCUGGGUUUGGUUCCUGAGGCCACCUUGACU
rnacentral:rRNA from 1 species